rnacentral:rRNA from 1 species
GGAUUUNGAUACCCUGGUAGUNCACGCCGUAAACGAUGCUAACUCGUUUUUGGGUUUUCGGAUUCAGAGACUAAGCGAAAGUGAUAAGUUAGCCACCUGGGGAGUACGUUCGCAAGAAUGAAACUCAAAGGAAUUGACGGGGGCCCGCACAAGCGGUGGAUUAUGUGGUUUAAUUCGAUGAUACGCGAGGAACCUUACCAAGGCUUAAAUGGGAAUUGAUCGGUUUAGAAAUAGACCUUCCUUCGGGCAAUUUUCAAGGUGCUGCAUGGUUGUCGUCAGCUCGUGCCGUGAGGUGUUAGGUUAAGUCCUGCAACGAGCGCAACCCCUGUUACUAGUUGCUACCAUUAAGUUGAGGACUCUAGUAAGACUGCCUACGCAAGUAGAGAGGAAGGUGGGGAUGACGUCAAAUCAUCACGGCCCUUACGCCUUGGGCCACACACGUAAUACAAUGGCAGGUACAGAGGGCAGCUACACAGCGAUGUGAUGCGAAUCUCGAAAGCCUGUCUCAGUUCGGAUUGGAGUCUGCAACUCGACUCUAUGAAGCUGGAAUCGCUAGUAAUCGCGCAUCAGCCAUGGCGCGGUGAAUACGUUCCCGGGCCUUGUACACACCGCCCGUCAAGCCAUGGAAGUCUGGGGUACCUGAAGUCGGUGACCGUAAAAGGAGCUGCCUAGGGUAAAACAGGUAACUAGGGCUAAGUCGUAACAAGGUAA